CCGCCAUCCCACCUAGGAAGUGAGGAGUGCCUCUUCCCGGCCGCCAUUCCAUCUAGGAAGUGAGAAGCGUCUCUGCCCGGCCGCCCAUCGUCUGAGAUGUGGGGAGCGCCUCUGCCCUGCUGCCCCGUCUAGGAUGUGAGGAGCGCCUCGGCCCGGCCACGACCCUGUCUGGGAGGAGGACAUUAAGAACUUCGGGCAGCAGCAUGCUGAGAGGAGGAGGUGGAAGAUGAAAGACCGUGCAGACCUUCCAUUGGGCGCCUGUUUCGGGGACAGCAGUGUGGGGAUAAACUGAGGACCUGUGUGUGUCCCCUCUGAAAAUGUGCCUGUGAGAAGAGGCCACUUGGGGAGGAACCCGGCAGGGCAAAGUCCUCAAAGAAGACCCAGCCCUUCUUGACAAGGCAAAGGUGCCGAGAGUGGCCUGGCUUCCUCCUGUGGAUCCAUCUCCGUCUUCCUGGGCAGCACCAAGCAAAGAACACUUACAUGCAUCUGGGCAAAUACACAGUGCCUGGUCCAGGCAGGGAGAAGCUCCCAGCUGAGUCCAGGGACUCAUCAUCCUCUGCUCCUGUGUGUGCUUGAGUGCUGCCACAAUGCAAAGCUUCCAGGGACGUACAUAUGGACUGAUACAAGUGAAUGCUGCAACUGUGCUUCAGUGACCCUUUACUACUUUAUACACAGUCUAGACAGGUUAAAAAUAAAGAGUGCCCCGUCUAAAAGGAAGGACAGAAAAAGAAAAGCAAAGAGCAUCCCACAUCCGCCUUCCACGUCAAAGCACAACCUCAAG
rnacentral:lncRNA from 10 species